rnacentral:rRNA from 1 species
AUACGGAGGAUGCGAGCGUUAUCCGGAUUUAUUGGGUUUAAAGGGAGCGUAGGUGGGAUAUUAAGUCAGCUGUGAAAGUUUGGGGCUCAACCUUAAAAUUGCAGUUGAUACUGGUUUCCUUGAGUACGGUACAGGUGGGCGGAAUUCGUGGUGUAGCGGUGAAAUGCUUAGAUAUCACGAAGAACUCCGAUCGCGAAGGCAGCUCACCGGGCCGGAACUGACACUGAUGCUCGAAAGUGCGGGUAUCAAACAGGAUUAGAUACCCUGGUAGUCCGCACAGUAAACGAUGAAUACUCGCUGUUUGCGAUACACUGUAAGCGGCCAAGCGAAAGCGUUAAGUAUUCCACCUGGGGAGUACGCCGGCAACGGUGUAACUCAAAGGAAUUGACGGGG